GUGCCAGCCGCCGCGGUAAUACGGAGGGUGCAAGCGUUAUCCGGAAUCACUGGGUUUAAAGGGUGCGUAGGCGGCUAGGUAAGUCAGGGGUGAAAGGUCACGGCUCAACUGUGGAAUUGCCUUUGAUACUGCCAAGCUUGAAUCAGGAUGAGGUCGGCGGAAUGUGGCAUGUAGCGGUGAAAUGCAUAGAUAUGCCAUAGAACACCAAUUGCGAAGGCAGCUGGCUAGACCUUGAUUGACGCUGAGGCACGAAAGCGUGGGGAGCGAACAGGAUUAGAUACCCUUGUAGUCC
rnacentral:rRNA from 1 species